GACGUAGUUCAGUGGUAGAACUCCAGAUUGUGGAUCUGGCUGUCGUGGGUUCGAAUCCCAUCG
rnacentral:tRNA from 1 species